UACGAAGGGUGCAAGCGUUAAUCGGAAUCACUGGGCGUAAAGCGCACGUAGGCGGCUUUUUAAGUCAGGGGUGAAAUCCUGGAGCUCAACUCCAGAACUGCCUUUGAUACUGAGAAGCUUGAGUCCGGGAGAGGUGAGUGGAACUGCGAGUGUAGAGGUGAAAUUCGUAGAUAUUCGCAAGAACACCAGUGGCGAAGGCGGCUCACUGGCCCGGUACUGACGCUGAGGUGCGAAAGCGUGGGGAGCAAACAGG
rnacentral:rRNA from 1 species